rnacentral:lncRNA from 1 species
CCGCUUUAGAUGAUAGUAUUAUUCAUACUCCAAAAGAUAUAAGUGAAGUUCAUGGAGCAUUCUACAAUUAAUAUUGACUAACCAAUAUCCAAGCUCAAAAUAUAUAAGUAAAGCACACGAAGCAUUUUAUAAAACCAUACUCAAAAGAUUUAAGUGAAGCACAAAGAACAUUCUAUAAGGUCAUACUCAAAAGAUAUAAGUGAAGCACAAAGAGCAUUCUAUAAGGUCAUACUCAAAAGAUAUAAGUGAAGCACAUGAAUCAUUCUAUAAAUUGAUGAAGGUACAUCUCAUACUAGCAUGGUCCUCAAAGAAAAAAACACAAAGGACACAAAUCAUGUGAACAAAACAAAAACCGAGGUAUACCGAUAAUUAUUGAAGAAGAAAGAUGGGAUGCCAACCGGCAUCCCCAAGCUUAGAUGCUUGAGUAUCCUUGGAAUAUUUAAUUUGGGUGCCUUGGGCAUCCCCAAGCUUGAACUCUGGCCUCUCUUUAUUCUUCUCACAUCGGUUACUCCUUGUUCUUCG